GUCCUUUGAUUUUGGGGAAUAUUUAAGGCAAGUGGACCUUUCAUACAUGCUAGCAUAGGCCCAUAAUGAGCCCGAAGGCCAAGCCUGCAGAUAGGGGAGGAGACUUGGAAUCUAAGAUGUUGGGCCGAGGUCUUAUUAGGUAGAAGGUGGUGUAAAAGACCACCUUGCCGAAGAUGGGAGGCUUAAUUUCAGCCCUGCUUUCACUGUAACAAGGGGGAGAUUCACAUAGAGGCAGCAGUAGAGAGUUUUGUGCAAUGCACGAAAGUAUGACACAGUGAGGAGACAUCUAAUUGAGCCUGUCAAAUUUAGUGCCAGCAGACGCGGUAAAACUAAAGGGCUGGUCUUUAUAACUAAAAAGGUGUAUAGGAUGUGUGGGCCCAGAAUUUAUCUAAGAAGGUUAAUGGAAGUUUUUCUGGAGCGGUGGAAUGUGGGAAUAGAAAAUAGAACCCCUAAGAGUAAAACUAUUUACUACCAAAUAGGCUCAAACAUGAGAGCGUGGGUGAUAAACAGGAUUAGAGACCCUGGUAGUCCACCCUGUAAACUUUGAAGAUUAUGCUAAACAUACCCGAAAGGUAAAAUCUUCCGCCUGAGUAGUACGAUCGCAAGAUUAAAAUUCAAAAACUUUGGUUGUUCACUAUUUAGAUUAGAGGAGCGUGUGGUUUAAUUCGAUAGUCCGCGUGUAACCUUACCCCAGCUUGAAUCUAUGACUGGUAUUGCAUGGCCGUCGUAUGUUCUUGUAUGAAGCGAAAAGGGACCCAAGCCGGGUUUAUCCCGAAGGAAGUCAGGUAUUAUGAUCCAAAUGUUGGGGGGCUUAAUGCGCUACACUUUUUUAUAUAAUAAGAGACUUGAAAGGUAAGUCUCUAAAGUAAGAGUUCGGAAGGUCCCUGUAAAACGAUUAAAAGUUGAAUUUAAUAGUAAUCGGAAAGUAGUGCGUUCCGGUGAAUAGGUAUAAGUGCUAACACAAAUUGCUCGUCACCUCUUCUUAGAAGGGCUAUUUGAACGCCUUGAGUGACUACAAAAGUCUUUAAGGAAGAGUAAGUCGUAACAUGGUAAGGGGGGGGUAACUUCCCCUUG
rnacentral:rRNA from 1 species